rnacentral:tRNA from 1 species
GGGGCGAUGGCGAAGUGGCUAACGCUGCGGAUUGCAAAUCCGCCAUGCGGGGGUUCGAAUCCCCCUCGCCCCU